rnacentral:rRNA from 1 species
AGAGUUUUGAUCCUGGCUCAGAUUGAACGCUGGCGGCAGGCCUAACACAUGCAAGUCGAACGGUAACAGAGAGCAGCUUGCUGCUCUGCUGACGAGUGGCGGACGGGUGAGUAAUGUCUGGGAAACUGCCUGAUGGAGGGGGAUAACUACUGGAAACGGUAGCUAAUACCGCAUAACGUCUACGGACCAAAGUGGGGGACCUUCGGGCCUCAUGCCAUCAGAUGUGCCCAGAUGGGAUUAGCUAGUAGGUGGGGUAACGGCUCACCUAGGCGACGAUCCCUAGCUGGUCUGAGAGGAUGACCAGCCACACUGGAACUGAGACACGGUCCAGACUCCUACGGGAGGCAGCAGUGGGGAAUAUUGCACAAUGGGCGCAAGCCUGAUGCAGCCAUGCCGCGUGUAUGAAGAAGGCCUUCGGGUUGUAAAGUACUUUCAGCGGGGAGGAAGGUGUUGUGGUUAAUAACCACAGCAAUUGACGUUACCCGCAGAAGAAGCACCGGCUAACUCCGUGCCAGCAGCCGCGGUAAUACGGAGGGUGCAAGCGUUAAUCGGAAUUACUGGGCGUAAAGCGCACGCAGGCGGUUGGUUAAGUCAGAUGUGAAAUCCCCGGGCUCAACCUGGGAACUGCAUUUGAAACUGGCAAGCUUGAGUCUCGUAGAGGGGGGUAGAAUUCCAGGUGUAGCGGUGAAAUGCGUAGAGAUCUGGAGGAAUACCGGUGGCGAAGGCGGCCCCCUGGACGAAGACUGACGCUCAGGUGCGAAAGCG